rnacentral:rRNA from 1 species
CCUAUGGGGGGCAGCAGUGGGGAAUAUUGCACAAUGGGGGGAACCCUGAUGCAGCGACGCCGCGUGAGUGAAGAAGUAUUUCGGUAUGUAAAGCUCUGUCAGCAGGGACGAAGAAAGACGGUACCUGACCAAGAAGCCCCGGCUAACUACGUGACAGCAGCCGCGGUAAUACGUAGGGGGCAAGCGUUAUCCGUAUUUACGGGGUGUAAAGGGAGCUUAGAGGGGAGGGCAAGUCUGGAGUGAAAGGCAGGGACCCAACCCCUAGCCUGCUCUGGAAACUGUCCGGCUGGAGUGCAGGAGAGGUAAGUGGAAUUCCUAGUGUAGCGGUGAAAUGCGUAGAUAUUAGGAGGAACACCAGUGGCGAAGGCGGCUUACUGGAGUGUAACUGACGUUGAGGCUCGAAAGCGUGGGGAGCAAACAGGAUUAGAUACCCCAGUAGUC